UUGUCAAAGUGACAUAUGGGGACAUUUUUAUGAAAUUUCACCUUACAUAUGAGGACCUGUUGAAAUAUGAGGACAUUUUCCAUGUCCCCAUAUUUCCCGCAAUGCUAUCGUGUUCUAGACCCUCCCAGCAUGUUCCCAGACCAAAAAUCUCUAAAGUCUUCAUUUGUCAAAUUUUCAGAAAAAGUGUGUGAAAGUGUGUGUAAUUUUUGGGGUCACUUUCGAUUUUGCCCCUAGUGGCCAUCUUUGCUAUUAUGACACACACACACACACACUUGUCCUCAUAUGUCAUAUGUCCUCAUAUGUCGUGUGGGGCAGAAACUCACACACUCCAACAUUUGAAAAACAUAUAAUCAUUACAGCAAUGAACAUACUUUUGAAAUCUAAAUCAAGUAACACAUUUUCAACUGAUCUGAUGAUCUCAACCUUUUUUAUGUUAGUUGUAUCUAUUAAUUUGGUUUAUCUGGAGAGGAUUUGGGCUAGACAAUCAAUAAUAAAGGGAUUAUGGUGAUGAUUUAAUCGGUUUGAUUCAGUAUUUUACUGUAUUGGGCUUUUUUCUAUUCUGUUGUCUAAAAUACAAUGCCGCACAAUAAUUACUUUAAAUGUGCCUGAAAAAAAACUUUCAACCUUGAUUGAGACAAAGGCGAUAAUUCAAAUGGAAUUCAAACUACAAACAGUAUUUAAUAUUUUCAAAUGGUUACAAUGGCACAUGAUUUUGGUAUUUUUAUCUUUGGGACAAAUUUUGGAUUCAAUUGGGGAUUGUUUUUGGAGGUAUUCACUUCACAUUGUAUUCAAGAUGGUUACUUCCGCCCACUGUGAAGAGUCUCGGCGUCUGAUUGGUCCAAUUUUCAGUUAGGCGCCGCCUGAUUGGCCGUUGGACGAUGUCUGCUCCUAACAGAUGGCUAAAUCACUAGUUAAUUAUUUUCCUCAUGGAAGUUAUACAGCUCACGUAUCACACUUAAUAUUGAAUAUAUAUAAAAAGGGUUUUCCAAAAGGACCAUUUAUAAUCGAAAUACAAAACUUCACACACGAUUUUGAGCACAACAGAGCGCUCAGUGAACAGCACUUCCGGGACCUGCAUCACCGGAGGGGGACAUCUAUCUUGGCCACAAACCAUCUUUGACAGUCUUCGGCAGCAUGGUUGAAUCAGGUGAGCAUAAAAUGGAGUUUAAAGUAAUUAAAUAGACCAAUGUUUUUUAACAUAGGAAAAUAGUUCAUUAUAAAGAACAGUAAAAUGUUUUUUGUUAUUAAUUGCAACCAGAUUUGAUUUUAUGAGGUUAAAUAAAGCAUUUCAGUUCUGGGCCAAGGCCAAAAGGCAUUUAAUUUUUUUUUUUUUUAAAGUUGCAUGGAAGAUUAUAAGUAGCAGUGAUUGUCACACACACACUAGGUGUGGUGAAAUUAUUCUCUGCAUUUGACCCAUCACCCUUGAUCACUAUGCUAGUAAACCUUUUCUUAAUUUUAAACAAGACAGACUAGAGUUCUUCAAAUUGUUUAUACUUUUUCUCAAAUACAAAUAUGUCAAGCUGAUAAGCACUGUGGAGUUGGCAUGUUACUGAUAUUGUUACAUUAGUUCUUUGUUUGAGAAGCUUCAUGUCUGCACUGAUCCUAAAUUUAACAGUUUUUGAAGGGUUUGGUUCUUUGUUUUAUUUCUGUGUCACUGACUUUUUUCAUUUUUAUGUGUGGAUUUGUUAGGCGCAUCAACACAUGAUAUAGACAUCGUGUCCAAAAGAAGAGCGAGAUGUAAUCCUGAGGCUGAAGCCACCGAGUUUAUUUGAUCUGGAUGUGACAAGUCUUGUUUUAAGGCCCAGUGGAUCAAUGAUUGGAAAGACACCAACUGUUGAUGUUCUAUCUCAACAUUCUCCAGAUUCAUGUGACCGAUAAACCGACUUCAUCCCUCCAACAGACACCAACUGUUGGGGUUCUAUCUCAACAUUCUCCAGAUUCAGAUGUGAGCGAUAAACCGACUUCAUCCCUCCAACAGGUUAUUACAAGUCUAUUUUUACUAUAUCUGCUCUAAAUGUGACCCAACCUAUAUUUUGAAAGACAUUUAUUAAUUUUAAUCUCUCACAGAUCGUUUAUAUGACAACAUUUUCGUAAGAGUACAUCCAUGUUAGUCAGUAAGGAGUUUGGAACUCAUGUUUAGCAAAACAGGAGAUGUUACAAGUCAACAACAUACAUUCUACAUGUGACCCCUCGUCAUGUCCUUAUAUUGUUUGAACCAAGAAAGACUUAGGUGUGUUUCAUAUAAGGUCCUCAUAUUUUCUAAACCAGAUUAGUGUGUGUUACAAUGUUAAUGUCCAAGCUUUAAAAUGUGUGUCUCAAUUCAGGUCCUCAUAUUUUCUGAACCAGAUUUUAGUGUGUUUUAUAUUCUUAAUUAAUUGUCUAAGAGCUAAAACGCUAUAAUAAUCUUUACUGUUUAUGUAGAAUUAUAUGCUCAGAAUAUUAUCAACCAAAAGUGGUUGUUAAUGUUAUAAUUAAUUAGUUCUGACAUUAUAUUUUUGUGUUUUGUUGCAGACACCAACUGUUGGGGUUCUAUCUCAACAUUCUCCAGAUUCAGAUGUGAGCGAUAAACCGACUUCAUCCCUCCAACAGACACCAACUGUUGGGGUUCUAUCUCAACAUUCUCCAGAUUCAGAUGUGAGCGAUAAACCGACUUCAUCCCUCCAACAGAAACCAACUGUUGAGGUUCCAUCUCAACAUUCUCCAGAUUCAGAUGUGAGCCAUUAACUGACUUCAUCCCUCCAACAGAAACCAACUGUUGAGGUUAUAUCUCAACAUUCUCUAGAUUCAGAUGACAGCCAUAAACCGACUUCAUCCCUCCAACAGAUUGACAGCAGGACAAAUCGCUGGAAGUAGGUAUGUCUCAAGCUUCUUCCACUUGGUCCACUCCAAAGCGGGCUGCAAAGGGGAAGAAGUGGAAGCAGUUGAAUGACACAUGUUGCAUUUUGUAACUGGCAACAAAGUACCAGGUAAAAAAGAUUGUGAAGCCUGCCUCCAUAAAGAACUAGUAGCUCUACAGGACAGAGAUUGGCUUGCCAUCAAGUACUACAUCCAUAACAGAAUUAUAUUAAAAAAAGGGGAAAAAAAUGUUUUCCCACAUCUUCUGUGGUAGUUUGAGUAUGUUACCAGCAAUUAAAAAAGCAAAAUAAA